GACACUUUGAAUUUUGUUUUAGAGGAAUGAUAGUUAAAGAAAGCACAUUCCACAUGCUUUCACAGAAUUUGAUUCUAAUCAGUUUUAUUAUAUUAAAUCUAGCAAACAAAAAUUAUCCUUAAAAUUGAAUCUAAACUUUCGAUGUUUUAUGUUGUCAUAGUCUGCUUUUCUAUAUAAAAGUCAUAGAGAACAAGUUUUCAAAAACUAUAGUCUCACAGAUAUAUUUUAUAUUCUACAGGUGAACUUCUAUCAGGGGAUGGCUGGGAACCAUUCAACAUAGUAAUUCCUAUGAAUAAUUUUGGGUAGUUCGGGUUUAUGAGAAGACUAACAUAUUUGAUGAUACAGAAAGCUCUAAUGAGAAAUAAAAUUAUGGAGACAUUGGGAUACUAUUGAUUUAAAUAUGAUCAUCCUAAAAUACAUUUGAGUACAACUAUUAAAAUCAUUAACAUUUUUAGUCUUUCUUAGGAAUCAUGUCAAAAUCAUGAAAUCUUAGCAGUGUGUUUAGAUAUGAUCAAUAAAGCAUUUUAGCCUUAUAAAGAGCCAUGGUUCAUAUUAUUUUAAUAUUUUUGAUGUGUAUUUCCUUGUCUGUCUUCAUGAAAUGGUAGAGUUAGUAGAAAUAGGUAGCCUAGUGACUCUCAUACUUUACUUAAGCUUAUUAUUCUUGAUAGAGACUUGAUGGGCUAAGUGCUCCUCUGCAGUUCUGUUGUCAGUAGUAAAAAUAUACCAAAAUUUAGUAUCCAUACUGAAAGGAACAAUAGACAACUGUGUAAUGGAGAGUUUACAUCCAUAGUAGUUGCUGAGAGUUGACUCACUUUUGCAAUGAUAACAUUGUUGAAAUUCAAUACAAACUGUUGAAAAUAUAACUAUAUGUCCCUUGCUAAGAGAGUUCUUGCAAUAUCAAGAGUAUUCAGAAAAGUAGUCAUGAUCUGUGCUUACAUUUUAUGCCUGCUUGACAAAAGCCAGAGAUAUUUGAGAAGAGAGAACUUUGAUACCGGAAAUUACCUGGAAAAACAAGCUAUAAAGAGGUCCAUAUGUUUUUCUUUUAUAUUGGUGAUUGAUGUGUGAUCUGAAGGAACUCAUCAUCAUGUGGUUUCUGAUAACUCUUGUAUACUUGUCUUGGGUUGUAUAAGAGAUCAGGAUAAGUAAAUCUAUAGAAGCAAUCCAGUGAAAAACAAUUCUUCAUAUAUAAUGUCCUAUAUUCAUUUUCCUAUCUAGUUUGUGUUCUUGUCUUUGCUUUCAUCAAAGAAAUGUCACUCCAGUUUUAUAUAAAAAUAUAGACCCACUAUUCUCCAAGUUUCUUUUGUACAUGGUGUUUAUCACAGUAAUAAUGAAACUAAUUAAAAAGAGAUACAUUUUUUUGAAGAGGAUAUUUGUACCAAUAUCUAGUAGCCCAAAUCAAAUAAAAUAUUCACUAGA
rnacentral:sRNA from 1 species